UAUUAGAUUUUCACCUGUGUGGGUACUGUGUUUGAGAAAGUCCCAGGACUUGUCAGCUGUAUAGGCCUCAUAAAAGACAGCUCUGUUCAGGGUUUGAAAGGGACUGCAGUUAAAAGCUAGGGCUAGGACUUGGAGGAUGUGUAGGCAAACGGAAGGAGAGCCGGGGGAAGAAAAACCGAAAUGGAUUCAUUCUCCGUCCUGGAUGGAGGAGGAGAGGAGAGGAGAAGGGGACGUGCGAGCUUCCUUCAGCUGCCUCUGUCCGGUGAAAAGUGCUCGAAGCCCCGGGGCUGCCUCGGGCUCAGGAGUCCGCGCGGACUUUCGCUGUAAGCUGCCAAUCAAACUGCUAACUAGCCACCACCCUGCUCUGGCACGGACAUGAGCUGAGGGAUAUCCUUGUGUCAGAGACAUCUCCCUCUGCCAUCUCACCCGGGAAUGCAGAAGCCCAGAAUGAGUGCAGGGCAGUGGCAGAGCAGCAGCUGAAUAUUCAGAUUUCACUCUUCAAGCAACCAGAGAUACUUCGAAACCACGCGUGAGACAAAAUGAUGUUAAACUUUCAAUUCUUAAACCUCUCUUUAGCCGUACUCCAGAACUGAGCAGUUCAUAGCAGACCGGGAUUUCUGAUUGACACUUUGCCAUCAGAAGCCCUCGAGUAGGAUUUUUCCAGCUAUAACACAGCUAUAACACUGGGCUCUGCUCCCUUCUGAAUGAUGCUAUUUUGCGAAUAGGAGCACAGGAGAAAUUUGCAUAAAAGCUUCAUAUAUAAUACAUGAUUGCUUGGAAAUUAAGAAGCAGCAGUUUUUCCCUUAUUGUUUUUGGAAUAAAGGGUGCGCUUUGUUUUCUUGUUUACUUAGUGUGCUCUCUGAUCCCUUGAUGUGUUUCAAGAGUUUUCUGUCAGCAUCAUGAGACCUUGCUUACCUGGUAAAUUUUAAGUGUGAAAUGAUUAGUGUUCAAAGUGCCUGAAAAAAACAACAGUAACAAUGUCUGACAACUUUUUUUUUUUCCUUCUCUUGUUAAAUAAUAUUUCAUGGUACAUUAAAUGGGUUGUGCAGCCUCUUCUGAAGAGACCAAAGCAACGUAUUGCCGCACGCUUAAUGUUUU